UAAGGCCAUGCGAGCGACGCGGUGAACUGAAACAUCUAAGUAACCGCAGGAAAAGAAAUCAACCGAGAUUCCCAAAGUAGUGGCGAGCGAAAUGGGAUGAGCCUUGUACUCUUUAUUUGUAUUGUUAGCCGAACGCUCUGGAAAGUGCGGCCAUAGCAGGUGAUAGCCCUGUAGGCGAAAACAGUAUGAAAGAACUAAGUGUACGACAAGUAGGGCGGGACACGUGAAAUCCUGUCUGAAGAUGGGGGGACCAUCCUCCAAGGCUAAAUACUCGUGAUCGACCGAUAGUGAACCAGUACCGUGAGGGAAAGGCGAAAAGAACCCCGGGAGGGGAGUGAAAUAGAUCCUGAAACCGCAUGCAUACAAACAGUCGGAGCCUCGUAAGGGGUGACGGCGUACCUUUUGUAUAAUGGGUCAGCGACUUACGUUCAGUAGCAAGCUUAACCGUAUAGGGCAGGCGUAGCGAAAGCGAGUCCGAAUAGGGCGUUCAGUUGCUGGGCGUAGACCCGAAACCAAGUGAUCUAUCCAUGGCCAGGAUGAAGGUGCGGUAACACGUACUGGAGGUCCGAACCCACUAACGUUGAAAAGUUAGGGGAUGAGCUGUGGAUAGGGGUGAAAGGCUAAACAAACUUGGAAAUAGCUGGUUCUCUCCGAAAACUAUUUAGGUAGUGCCUCGUGUCUCACCUUCGGGGGUAGAGCACUGUCAUGGUUGGGGGGUCUAUUGCAGAUUACCCCGCCAUAGCAAACUCCGAAUACCGAAGAGUGCAAUCACGGGAGACAGACAUCGGGGUGCUAACGUCCGGUGUCAAGAGGGAAACAACCCAGACCGCCAGCUAAGGUCCCCAAAAUAUAGCUAAGUGGGAAACGAAAGUGGGGAAGGGCUAAAACAGUCAGGAGGGUGGGCCUUUAGAAGCAGCCCACCCUUUUAAAGAA
rnacentral:rRNA from 1 species